GACGAACGCUGGCGGCGUGCUUAACACAUGCAAGUCGAACGGAAAGGCCCCUUUGGGGGUACUCGAGUGGCGAACGGGUGAGUAACACGUGAGUAACCUGCCCUUGACUUCGGGAUAACUUCAGGAAACUGGGGCUAAUACCGGAUAGGAAUCCUUACUGCAUGGUGGGGGUUGGAAAGCUUCGGCGGUUUUGGAUGGACUCGCGGCUUAUCAGCUUGUUGGUGGGGUAGUGGCUUACCAAGGCUUUGACGGGUAGCCGGCCUGAGAGGGCGACCGGCCACAUUGGGACUGAGAUACGGCCCAGACUCCUACGGGAGGCAGCAGUGGGGAAUAUUGCACAAUGGGCGGAAGCCUGAUGCAGCAACGCCGCGUGCGGGAUGACGGCCUUCGGGUUGUAAACCGCUUUCAGCAGGGGCGAAGCUUGUGGUGACGGUACCUGCAGAAGAAGCACCGGCUAACUACGUG
rnacentral:rRNA from 1 species